GGGAGUGUACGCGGAUCUGGUGACCGCCUCAGUCUUCAAAACUGACGGAACACGUUUAACGCUGUUCGGUGGGUUCGAUUCCCAUCCACUUCCGC
rnacentral:tRNA from 1 species